rnacentral:rRNA from 1 species
AGUGAACGCUGGCGGUAGGCCUAACACAUGCAGGUCGAACGGCAGCACAGUAGGAGCUUGCUCUUACGGGUGGCGAGUGGCGGACGGGUGAGGAAUACAUCGGAAUCUACUUUUUCGUGGGGGAUAACGUAGGGAAACUUACGCUAAUACCGCAUACGACCUACGGGUGAAAGCAGGGGAUCUUCGGACCUUGCGCGAUUGAAUGAGCCGAUGUCGGAUUAGCUAGUUGGCGGGGUAAAGGCCCACCAAGGCGACGAUCCGUAGCUGGUCUGAGAGGAUGAUCAGCCACACUGGAACUGAGACACGGUCCAGACUCCUACGGGAGGCAGCAGUGGGGAAUAUUGGACAAUGGGCGCAAGCCUGAUCCAGCCAUACCGCGUGGGUGAAGAAGGCCUUCGGGUUGUAAAGCCCUUUUGUUGGGAAAGAAAAGCAGCAGGUUAAUACCCCGCUGUUCUGACGGUACCCAAAGAAUAGGCACCGGCUAACUUCGUG